UGGGGAAUAUUGCACAAUGGGCGCAAGCCUGAUGCAGCCAUGCCGCGUGUGUGAAGAAGGCCUUCGGGUUGUAAAGCACUUUCAGCGAGGAGGAAGGUGGUGGACUUAAUACGUUCAUCAAUUGACGUUACUCGCAGAAGAAGCACCGGCUAACUCCGUGCCAGCAGCCGCGGUAAUACGGAGGGUGCAAGCGUUAAUCGGAAUUACUGGGCGUAAAGCGCACGCAGGCGGUUUGUUAAGUCAGAUGUGAAAUCCCCGGGCUCAACCUGGGAACUGCAUUUGAAACUGGCAAGCUAGAGUCUCGUAGAGGGGGGUAGAAAUUCCAGGUGUAGCGGUGAAAUGCGGUAGAGAUCUGGAGGAAUACCGGUGGCGAAGGCGGCCCCCUGGACGAAGACUGACGCUCAGGUGCGAAAGCGUGGGGAGCAAACAGGAUUAGAUAACCCUGGUAGUCCACGCUGUAAACGAUGUCGAUUUUGGAGGUUGUGCCCUUGAGGCGUGGCUUGCCGGAGCUAACGCGUUAAAGUCGACCGCC
rnacentral:rRNA from 1 species